UUAGAUAUUAACUAAUGCACAGAGAAGUAGUAAUUAAAAGCAGAGAACUCUUGGAGUUCGUAGUCAAUAUCCCAGCAUACAAUUCAUUCAAGUGUUCAGUUGAGCAAUUCUAACUGUAAAAUGACAAACACAAAUUUAAAUUGGCAGCUUAACAACCUGGAACACACAGUGGAUUUGGCAACUAGAUUGCUGUUUAUCCAGUUUAGCUCCAGCUGUCCUUGAGCAUCCAGCAAAACUUAGCAGCAACGAGUUGGACUAAAUCUCCAGCUUCAAUCGUACGAUCCUGCUCUCUGAUUGUACUGUAAGCCUUAUCGUCCUCGUCCUCACUGUUGAAAAGCGCAAUCAGCAAAAGAUAUCGCAGCUCCUAUUUAUCAUCUUCCGCUGCCGAAGGAUUCGAAGCACGAAGCUUCCUUCUUUCCUUUGC
rnacentral:lncRNA from 1 species